GACGAACGCUGGCGGCGUGCUUAACACAUGCAAGUCGAACGGAAAGGCCCUGCUUUUGUGGGGUGCUCGAGUGGCGAACGGGUGAGUAACACGUGAGUAACCUGCCCUUGACUUUGGGAUAACUUCAGGAAACUGGGGCUAAUACCGGAUAGGAGCUCCUGCUGCAUGGUGGGGGUUGGAAAGUUUCGGCGGUUGGGGAUGGACUCGCGGCUUAUCAGCUUGUUGGUGGGGUAGUGGCUUACCAAGGCUUUGACGGGUAGCCGGACUGAGAGGGUGACCGGCCACAUUGGGACUGAGAAACGGCCCAGACUCCUACGGGAGGCAGCAGUGGGGAAUAUUGCACAAUGGGCGGAAGCCUGAUGAAGCAACGCCGCGUGCGGGAUGACGGCCUUCGGGUUGUAAACCGCUUUCGCCUGUGACGAAGCGUGAGUGACGGUAAUGGGUAAAGAAGCACCGGCUAACUACGUG
rnacentral:rRNA from 1 species